rnacentral:rRNA from 1 species
GGUCAAGCGAUGAAGCGCAUACGGUGGAUGCCUAGGCAGCCAGAGGCGAUGAAAGACGUGGAAGCCUGCGAUAAGGCUCGGCGAGGUGGCAAACAACCUGUGACCCGGGCAUUUCUGAAUGGGGAAACCCACCCACGGUAACGUGGGUAUCCCACACUGAAUCCAUAGGUGUUGGGAGGCGAACCGGGGGAACUGAAACAUCUCAGUACCCCGAGGAAAAGAAAUCAACCGAGAUUCCCC